GGCGUAGGCGGUUCGGUCAGUCCGUUGUGAAAUCCCUGGGCUCAACCCAGGAACUGCAACGGAUACUUCCGAGCUAGAGUGCAGGAGGGGAGAGCGGAAUUCCUGGUGGAGCGGUGAAAUGCGUAGAUAUCAGGAGGAACGCCAGUGGCGAAAGCGGCUCUCUGGACUGUUACUGCCGCUGAGGCCCGAAAGCUAGGGGAGCGAACAGGAUUAGAUACCCUGGUAGUCC
rnacentral:rRNA from 1 species